CACCCAACAGCUAGCCCAACCCCCUUAAACAGUAACAAACCCUAUCAACUAAACCUGCAUUAUUCUACACAAAACCAAACAAACCAUUUUUCCCCCUUAGUAUGGGAGACAGAAAAGGAAAUACUCGGCGCAUUAGAGAAAGUACCGCAAGGGAAAGCUGAAAGAGAAAUGAAAUAACUCAGUUAAGUUCAAAGAAGCAGAGACUAAACCUCGUACCUUUUGCAUCAUGAUCUAGCCAGCAAUCUUUAAGCAAAGAGCACUAUAGUUUAAAACCCCGAAACUAAGUGAGCUACUCCAGGACAGCCUAUAGUAAGGGCGCACCCUUCUCUGUGGCAAAAGAGUGGGAAGAUCCUUGAGUAGCGGUGACAGACCUAUCGAACUUAGUUAUAGCUGGUUGCUUGAGAAAUGAAUAGAAGUUCAGCCUUCAGGCUUCCUCCCUCAAAACUGGUCUUACCCUGACCCGCGGACAAGAAGUCAUGAGGAGUUAGUCAAAGGGGGUACAGCCCCUUUGAAAAAGGAGACAACCUCCUCAGGAGGUUAAAGAUCACACCUAUAAAGGGCAAUCGUCGCGGUGGGCCUAAAAGCAGCCAUCCCCUCAAAAAGCGUUAAAGCUUAGACAUCUAAACAAUCCCUUCAAUUCUGACAAUUUUAUCUUAACCCCUAAUUAUAUCAAGCCAUCCCAUGCCCCCAUGGGAGCAAUCCUGCUAGUAUGAGUAAUAAGAGGACUGAGUCCCUCUCCCCAGCACAAGUGUACAUCGGAACGAACUCGCACCGAAACUUAACGGCCCCAAUAAUAGAGGGUACUGGAAAAAACAUCUCACAAACCAGAAAAACUUCCAAUAAUUAACCGUUGACCCCACACUGGUGUGCUCAAAGGGAAAGGCUAAAAGAGAAAGAAGGAACUCGGCAAACACCUAAAGCCUCGCCUGUUUACCAAAAACAUCGCCUCUUGCAAAAUUAACGAAUAAGAGGUCACGCCUGCCCAGUGACUUUAGAGUUUAACGGCCGCGGUAUUUUGACCGUGCAAAGGUAGCGUAAUCACUUGUCUUUUAAAUGGAGACCUGUAUGAAUGGCAUCACGAGGGCUUGACUGUCUCCUUUCUUAAGCCAAUGAAAUUGAUCUCCCCGUGCAGAAGCGGGGAUAACAACAUAAGACGAGAAGACCCUAUGGAGCUUUAGACACCAAGACACCCUACGUUAAACAUUCCUCUAAAAGACCUAAACUAAGUAGAUUCUCUCCUAAUGUCUUCGGUUGGGGCGACCCUGGGGAGAUAAAGAACCCCCAUGUGGAGUGGAAAUAUUUUCUAGAACCAAGGGCUACAGCCCUAAGUGACAGAAUCUCUGACCAAAUAGAUCCGGCAAGGCCGAUCAACGGACCGAGUUACCCUAGGGAUAACAGCGCAAUCCCCUUUUAGAGACCAUAUCGACAAGGGGGUUUACGACCUCGAUGUUGGAUCAGGACAUCCUAAUGGUGCAGCCGCUAUUAAGGGUUCGUUUGUUCAACGAUUAAAGUCCUACGUGAUCUGAGUUCAGACCGGAGUAAUCCAGGUCAGUUUCUAUCUAUGACGUGGCCUUUUCUAGUACGAAAGGACCGAGAAGGAGAGGCCAAUAUUCCAGGCACGCCUCACCCCCACCUAACGAAAUCAACUAAAAUAGGUAAAAAGGCAUAAACAUAUGGCCCAAGAACACGGCAG
rnacentral:rRNA from 1 species